GCGCGGGUGGCGAAAUUGGUAGACGCGCUGUCUUGAGGGGGCAGUGCCGCAAGGCGUGAGAGUUCGAGUCUCUCUCCGCGCACCA
rnacentral:tRNA from 5 species